rnacentral:rRNA from 1 species
GAUGAACGCUAGCGGCAGGCCUAAUACAUGCAAGACGAACGGUAAGUUGAGUAGCAAUACUUAGCCAAGAGUGUCGUACGGGUGCGUAACACGUAUGCAACCUACCCUAUACAGGAGGAUAGCCUAGGGAAACCUGGAUUAACCCUUCAUAGUAUUAUUGGAUGGCAUCAUUUGAUAAUUAAAACUGAGGUGGUAUAGGAUGGGCAUGCGUCUGAUUAGUUAGUUGGCGGGGUAAUGGCCCACCAAGACGAUGAUCAGUAGGGGUUCUGAGAGGAAGAUCCCCCACACUGGCACUGAGAUACGGGCCAGACUCCUACGGGAGCAGCAGUAGGGAAUAUUGGGUCAAUGGAUGCAAGUCUGAACCAGCCAUGCCGCGUGCAGGAAGAAGGGCCCUUUCUGGGGUUGUAAAACUGCUUUUUGCCAGGGGGAUAAAAAUUUCCAUGCGUGGAAAACUGAAGGUACCUGGUGAAUAAGCCACGGCUAACUACGUGCCAGCAGCCGCGGUAAU